UUUUAAGACCCUGGAUCCAGCCAUGUCUGAAGCCAGUGCACUUCUGCGAGUCAAUAAAUUCCCUUCUUCCCACUUUUACUCCCAACCAGUUUGGGUAAGAAUUUGUACCCAGAAAGUUCUGAUUAAGUCAAUAAAUAAUAGUCCUAAUUAAGCCCAUAAAUAAUAAAAUUCAUAGACUUUUUAGUAGGAAAAAAAACUAUUUUAGCUGGGAGCUGUGGCAGAUACCUAUAAUCUCAGCUAUUAGGGAGGCUGAGUCAGGAGGAUCCCAAAUUCAAGGCCAGCCUCAGAAACUUAGUGAGAUUCAAAAUAAAAAAUUUAACACCCAGUACUGCUAAAACCCUUUUUUAAAAUGAAUGAUACAGUCCAUCAAAAGAUGAUAAAGGCUAAGGAGAAUAAAAAGGAAGGAGUACAGGGAAUGCCAAGUUAUUUCUAAAUUUUUUUAAAGUGAAGGAGGGUUUGUUCACCCAACUUCAGCUCAAAGAGAUUAAAAAUAAGGUCAUGGGGCUGGGAUUGUAGCUCAGUGGUAGAGCACUUGCCUUGCAUGUAUGUAUGAGGUACUGGGUUCCAUCCUCAAUACCACAUAAAAAUAAAUAAAUGAAUGAAUAAAUAAAUGAAUGUAUUAAUAUAAAAAACAACAACAACAAGGUCAUCUAGCAAGUAGAAGAACCAGAAUUGAAAAAUGGGAGGUCUUUUGACCUCGCCCAAGUCAUACUUCCUCCCAGGCCAGGAAUCUCUUAACUGGUAAACUCACUUUAUCUGUCCUGGGCUUCACUAUUAAUGACCUUUUGGAAGUUUUGUUUUAUUUUGGGUUUGUUUAUUUGUUUUGUGGUACUGGGGAUUGAACCCAAGGGUGCUGUACCACUGAGCUACACCAUCA
rnacentral:lncRNA from 1 species